rnacentral:tmRNA from 1 species
GGGGCUGAUUCUGGAUUCGACGGGAUUUGCGAAACCCAAGGUGCAUGCCGAGGGGCGGUUGGCCUCGUAAAAAGCCGCAAAAAAUAGUCGCAAACGACGAAAACUACGCUUUAGCAGCUUAAUAACCUGCUUAGAGCCCUCUCUCCCUAGCCUCCGCUCUUAGGACGGGGAUCAAGAGAGGUCAAACCCAAAAGAGAUCGCGUGGAAGCCCUGCCUGGGGUUGAAGCGUUAAAACUUAAUCAGGCUAGUUUGUUAGUUGCGUGUCCGUCCGCAGCUGGCAAGCGAAUGUAAAGACUGACUAAGCAUGUAGUACCGAGGAUGUAGGAAUUUCGGACGCGGGUUCAACUCCCGCCAGCUCCACCA